AACACAGGACUCUCUGCUGCAGGUCAAGCCUCUAUCUGUGGGCACAAACACAACAACAGCAAAUGGGAAAUCUAAAUGCACUCCCACAGUUGCCCCAAAGACCACUCCGAUGGUGGACAGGAAUAAUUAUCCAGCUGAGGGGUUAGAACAAUCAACAAACAUGGCGGAAGGGUAGACGACUGGACGGUCUGCCGCACAAGAGAAACGACCACAUAUGGUUCGACAUUGUGACGCCACAUCUCGGGACCAAAUGUGAUGCUGUGUACACAAUGUCCAGUGGGAAAACAACAUACUCCUGUGAGGAAUGUGGCAAGUCAUAUGGCUGGAAGAGGUCUCUUAAGAAACACAUAAUUGCACACAGUGGUGUUAAAAACUUUAAAUGUGAUGAAUGUGAGAAACAAUUUUCACAUAAUAGUUCUCUCAAGCACCAUAUUGAGUCUUUUCACCUUGGUGUUAAAAACUUUAAAUGUGAUGAAUGUGAGAAACAUUUUUUACAAAAUAGUUAUCUCAAGUACCACAUUCUUGCUGUUCACCGUGGUGUUAAAAACUUUAAAUGUGAUGAAUGUGGGAAACAUUUUACACAAAAUAGUUCUCUCAAGAACCACAUUCUUGCUGUUCACUGUGGUGUUAAAAACUUUAAAUGUGAUGAAUGUGGGAAACAUUUUUCACGAAAAGAUUCUCUCAAGAACCACAUUCUUGCUGUUCACUGUGGUGGUAAAAACUUUGAAUGUGAUGAAUGUGGUAAACAUUUUUCACGAGAAGGUCAUCUCAAGAGACAUAUUGAGGCUGUGCACCGUGGUGUUAAAAACUUUAAAUGUGAUGAAUGUGGGAAAGAUUUUUCACGAAAAGGUUAUCUCAAGACCCAUAUUCUUGCUGUUCAUUGUGGUGGUAAAAACUUUAAAUGUGAUGAAUGUGGUAAACAUUUUUCCAUGAAGAACUAUCUCAGACGUCAUUUACUUGUGCAUGAAAAAAAUAUUAAUAAAUAAAUUUUUGAAUCAGUUCAGCAGAAGAGUAAUGUGACACUUGAAUACAUCAACUUAAAACCACUUGAGCAAACUUUAUGACUGUAGCCCAAGUUGUUAUUACCGUAUUUACUCGUGCAUAAACUGAUUUCAUGUAGUUUGAUCCCUCAUUUUGUUGUUAAAUAAUUGUGAGCUUUUCAUAUAGCUCUUGUAUAAUAUGACCCUAGGUUUUGAGAAAUACUGUACAGUACAAGGUACCGGUAUAAUCCCAGACAUAAUUAGUAGAAAGACGCCAGGAGCCUCGCGCCCUCCUGGUUAGUAAUUGUACAGUUCAACUGCAACACAAACUAGUACAAGAAGGCUGUGUUGUUUGGAAGCAUUUUAGUGAAAGAGUAAAUUCUCAUGGAUGGAAGUGAAAAGAAGGUUGUUUUACUGAACACCAUAGAUACACAUACAGUGUUACAAGACUUGAAUAAACAAAAGGAACAGUGGUGAUACAUGUACAGUGUUACAAGACUUGAAUAAAGAAAAGGAGCAGUGGUGAUACAUGUACAGUGUUACAAGACCUGAAUAAACAAAAGGAACAUUGAAUGCCACUCAGAAUUGCUAAGAAUUGCACAAUUCUUCUUUGCUGUAUCAUCUCACAAUGCAAAUAUAGAAAGAGUUUUUUCACUGAUGCAAAGUCAAUAUACAAAGGAAAGGAACAAAUUGAGUGUUGAAACAAUGAAAGGCAUUCUGACUGUACAGUACAACUUCCCAGAAACCUUGCAGUGACUUCUAUACCUUUCUAAAGAGCAAUCGGCCAAUAAUGAAAAAGAUCUGAUCUACGGAAAAGUAUGCAUGGGCACAUCAAGUCACACACACAGUGGGGGAAGAAGACUGCAGCUAAGGGAAUGAAGAUAUUCAGCCUUUAAGCAAGGGUGACAUGAUGUACCAUCUUCCUGAGGCAGUGGACCAGAAGGUAUGACACUGUAGACACUGGGAAGAAUACUUUACUACCAUCACCAAGUGGCAUCAUCAACAUAACCAGCCAACUGAAGUUAACCUGAGAUGGACACAAACUUCACCUGCUGCUGUAUGGGAAGUCCAUUGUGACUAA
rnacentral:misc_RNA from 1 species